GACUGACCGAUAGUGAACCAGUACCGUGAGGGAAAGGCGAAAAGAACCCCGGAGAGGGGAGUGAAAUAGAACCUGAAACCGUAUGCGUACAAGCAGUGGGAGCCUACUUGUUAGGUGACUGCGUACCUUUUGUAUAAUGGGUCAGCGACUUAUAUUCAGUGGCAAGCUUAACCGUAUAGGGUAGGCGUAGCGAAAGCGAGUCUUAAUAGGGCGUUUAGUCGCUGGGUAUAGACCCGAAACCGGGCGAUCUAUCCAUGAGCAGGUUGAAGGUUAGGUAACACUGACUGGAGGACCGAACCCACUCCCGUUGAAAAGGUAGGGGAUGACUUGUGGAUCGGAGUGAAAGGCUAAUCAAGCUCGGAGAUAGCUGGUUCUCCUCGAAAGCUAUUUAGGUAGCGCCUCAUGUAUCACUCUGGGGGGUAGAGCACUGUUUCGGCUAGGGGUCAUCCCGACUUACCAAACCGAUGCAAACUCCGAAUACCCAGAAGUGCCGAGCAUGGGAGACACACGGCGGGUGCUAACGUCCGUCGUGAAAAGGGAAACAACCCAGACCGCCAGCUAAGGUCCCAAAGUUGUGGUUAAGUGGUAAACGAUGUGGGAAGGCUUAGACAGCUAGGAGGUUGGCUUAGAAGCAGCCAUCCUUUAAAGAAAGCGUAAUAGCUCACUAGUCGAGUCGGCCUGCGCGGAAGAUGUAACGGGGCUCAAACCACACACCGAAGCUGCGGGUGUCACGUAAGUGACGCGGUAGAGGAGCGUUCUGUAAGCCUGUGAAGGUGAGUUGAGAAGCUUGCUGGAGGUAUCAGAAGUGCGAAUGCUGACAUGAGUAACGACAAUGGGUGUGAAAAACACCCACGCCGAAAGACCAAGGGUUCCUGCGCAACGUUAAUCGACGCAGGGUUAGUCGGUUCCUAAGGCGAGGCUGAAAAGCGUAGUCGAUGGGAAACAGGUUAAUAUUCCUGUACUUCUGGUUACUGCGAUGGAGGGACGGAGAAGGCUAGGCCAGCUUGGCGUUGGUUGUCCAAGUUUAAGGUGGUAGGCUGAAAUCUUAGGUAAAUCCGGGGUUUCAAGGCCGAGAGCUGAUGACGAGUCGUCUUUUAGAUGACGAAGUGGUUGAUGCCAUGCUUCCAAGAAAAGCUUCUAAGCUUCAGGUAAUCAGGAACCGUACCCCAAACCGACACAGGUGGUCGGGUAGAGAAUACCAAGGCGCUUGAGAGAACUCGGGUGAAGGAACUAGGCAAAAUGGCACCGUAACUUCGGGAGAAGGUGCGCCGGCUAGGGUGAAGGAUUUACUCCGUAAGCUCUGGCUGGUCGAAGAUACCAGGCCGCUGCGACUGUUUAUUAAAAACACAGCACUCUGCAAACACGAAAGUGGACGUAUAGGGUGUGACGCCUGCCCGGUGCCGGAAGGUUAAUUGAUGGGGUUAGCGCAAGCGAAGCUCUUGAUCGAAGCCCCGGUAAACGGCGGCCGUAACUAUAACGGUCCUAAGGUAGCGAAAUUCCUUGUCGGGUAAGUUCCGACCUGCACGAAUGGCGUAACGAUGGCGGCGCUGUCUCCACCCGAGACUCAGUGAAAUUGAAAUCGCUGUGAAGAUGCAGUGUAUCCGCGGCUAGACGGAAAGACCCCGUGAACCUUUACUGUAGCUUUGCACUGGACUUUGAGCCUGCUUGUGUAGGAUAGGUGGGAGGCUUUGAAGCGUGGACGCCAGUUCGCGUGGAGCCAUCCUUGAAAUACCACCCUGGCAUGCUUGAGGUUCUAACUCUGGUCCGUGAUCCGGAUCGAGGACAGUGUAUGGUGGGCAGUUUGACUGGGGCGGUCUCCUCCUAAAGAGUAACGGAGGAGUACGAAGGUGCGCUCAGACCGGUCGGAAAUCGGUCGCAGAGUAUAAAGGCAAAAGCGCGCUUGACUGCGAGACAGACACGUCGAGCAGGUACGAAAGUAGGUCUUAGUGAUCCGGUGGUUCUGUAUGGAAGGGCCAUCGCUCAACGGAUAAAAGGUACUCCGGGGAUAACAGGCUGAUACCGCCCAAGAGUUCAUAUCGACGGCGGUGUUUGGCACCUCGAUGUCGGCUCAUCACAUCCUGGGGCUGAAGCCGGUCCCAAGGGUAUGGCUGUUCGCCAUUUAAAGUGGUACGCGAGCUGGGUUUAGAACGUCGUGAGACAGUUCGGUCCCUAUCUGCCGUGGACGUUUGAGAUUUGAGAGGGGCUGCUCCUAGUACGAGAGGACCGGAGUGGACGAACCUCUGGUGUUCCGGUUGUCACGCCAGUGGCAUUGCCGGGUAGCUAUGUUCGGAAAAGAUAACCGCUGAAAGCAUCUAAGCGGGAAACUUGCCUCAAGAUGAGAUCUCACUGGGAACUUGAUUCCCCUGAAGGGCCGUCGAAGACUACGACGUUGAUAGGCUGGGUGUGUAAGCGUUGU
rnacentral:rRNA from 1 species